AGUUAGUAACACCAAUAAAGAUAACCCAAUGAAUUAAAAAAAAGAAGUGGAGCUUGCGGCUUAAUGUGACUCAACACGGGAAAACUUACCAGGUCCGAACUUAUUGAGGUAAGACAGAUUGAUAGCUCUUUCUCAAACUUAAGGGUAGUGGUGCAUGGCCGUUCUUAGUUCGUGGAAUGAUUUGUCUGGUUAAUUCCGGUAACGAACGCGACUCAGUCAAGCUAACUAGAACGCUGUCAGUAGUGUGCCUCCGGGCGCACCUGACGUUAGGAGUGGCGGGUGUCCUCACGGGUGCCCGUCACUUAGUUUUCCCUGCUUAGCUUGACAACUUGUGUUUAGCAAGAUGAGAUUGAGCGAUAACAGGUCCGUGAUGCCCUUAGAUGUUGUGGGCUGCGUGUUCUCGCCUUAUGGCGCCCCCAUUCCGAGAGGAACGGGAAAUCACCCAAAUGCUCAUUUAGUAGGGAUUGGGGACUGCAAUGGUCCCCAUGAACCUGGAAUUUCUAGUAAGUGCUAGUCAUUAGCUAGCGCUGAUUACGUCUCUGCCCUUUGUACACACCGCCCGUCGCUACUACCGAUGGAUUAUUUAGUGAGGUCUCUGGAGGCACACCUUCCGCGAUUCCUUCGUGAGUUGCAGUUGGCACGGCCGAAGUUGACCGAACUUGAUGAUUUAGAGGAAGUAAAAGUCGUAACAAGGUUUCCGUAGGUGAACUUGCGGAAG
rnacentral:rRNA from 1 species